rnacentral:rRNA from 1 species
UACGGAGGGGGCUAGCGUUGUUCGGAAUUACUGGGCGUAAAGCGCGCGUAGGCGGACCUGCAAGUCGGGGGUGAAAGCCCGAGGCUCAACCUCGGAACUGCCUUCGAUACUGCGGGUCUCGAGUCCGGGAGAGGUGAGUGGAAUUCCUAGUGUAGAGGUGAAAUUCGUAGAUAUUCGCAAGAACACCAGUGGCGAAGGCGGCUCACUGGCCCGAUACUGACGCUGAGGCACGAAAGCGUGGGGAGCAACAGG